UGUUUCUUCUUCAAGAGGAGGAGUCAAUGCAAAUGCUGAAUGCUCCAUUUAUACAUGUCUGUUAGUUUAAGAGCAGCAGUGAAUUAGUGGUGAACACAGUAAGAACAGAGACAAAUGGCUUCUACAAUGAUUAGAUUUAAGUUUCUCCUUGCUGUUAUCAUCUUGUCUGCAAACUGGUGUGGAACUGAUGGUCAAACACUGACUGAGUCUGAAUCAGUGGUUAAAAGGCCUGGAGAAUCUCACAGACUGACCUGCACAUAUUCUGGGUUUAGUAGCAAUCCUUACAUAGCUUGGAUCAGACAGGCGGCUGGAAAAGGACUGGAAUGGAUCGCUUAUAUCUACUAUGACAGCAGCUACAUGUACUACUCUGACUCAGUAAGAGGCCGGUUCACCAUCUCCAGAGACAACAGCAGAAGUCAGGUGUAUCUGCAGAUGAACAGCCUGACAGCUGGAGAUUCUGCUGUUUAUUACUGCGCUCGGGAGACACAGUGACACAGAAAGCAGAAACACUGAACAAAAACUCCUGUCGUCAUGAAAAGUUUUAACAAGAAGCCACCACAGGGGGAGCCCUAACACCACUUUUCAUAGGUGACUGUCACUCUCACCUCUCUGGUAGCUUUACCUAUGUUAGAUGCUAUUGAUAAGAGCAUGGAGUCAUUUUUCU